rnacentral:rRNA from 1 species
UACGUAGGGUGCAAGCGUUGUUCGGAAUUACUGGGCGUAAAGCGCACGUAGGCGGCUUUGUAAGUUAGAGGUGAAAGCCCGGGGCUCAACUCCGGAAUUGCCUUUAAGACUGCAUCGCUAGAAUUGUGGAGAGGUGAGUGGAAUUCCGAGUGUAGAGGUGAAAUUCGUAGAUAUUCGGAAGAACACCAGUGGCGAAGGCGACUCACUGGACACAUAUUGACGCUGAGGUGCGAAAGCGUGGGGAGCAAACAGG